AGGGGGAGGGGUUCAGGUGAAAGGGGCCGGGCUGCGACUUCCGGGGCGGAAACGCACGCCGCCAUCUUGGUUCGAGUUCUAGGUGGUACAGGUUGGCGGCGUGUUCUCCUGUUCUCCUUCCAAGCUCCUUGGGCUGGUUCUGGAGGGAGUGAAGGGAAGAGACCUAGAUCACUUGAGCAAUAAAGAUGGCUAUGACCUCAUGAGCUUCAGAAAGUUAAGAAAGUGACGUCUUGGCCCAUAUUCUCCAGGGAAUGAGCUGUGCUCCAGCACCAUCUCUACAGACUCCAAUGCAAUUUUUCCAUUGAAAACCUUCCACUGCAAACCAACUUUAAGAUGGAUAUCUUCCUCUCUUCUGUGCCUUUCAAAAGUCAACAAAACAGUCCCUGAAGGAGACUUUCCCACAGGGAGAUAGCUGCCCUCAACUUAGAAGACAUCAAGCAAACUUUAUCUGCUCUACAAUUUUGCCCAAGAACAAUUGUGUCUACCCAUGUUCACAAUUUCAUCAAAUAAUAUGUGACCCUUUAUCUGAGAAAUUAAAAUCUUAAAGCAUCACCCCAUUUCCUUCCCAUCACUGUAGAAAAAUACUCAUGUCAGAAUAAUGCUCCUUUUACAUUGAAGUCCUACUUAAGGUCCUCCGGUGGGACCUUUAGUAAUUCAUUUAACUCCUUCAGUUUCCUCAUCUGUUAAAUAAGGGUGCUAAAUAAGAUGUUGUCUAAAGCCCCUUCGAGAUCUAAUAUUAUGACUUUGAAUUAUCUUUUCCUGUGCCGCCCUCCCCUCUCCUCUCUUCUUUUUUCC